GUGUUUCCUUCAGUGGCACAUAUAUUGAAGUUGGAAUGAUACAAAAAGAUUAGCAUGGUGCUUGCAAGAACGACAAGCAAAUUUGUGAAGCAUCUGUAUUCCUU